AGGUGGUCAGGUAGAGAAUACCAAGGCGCUUGAGAGAACUCGGGUGAAGGAACUAGGCAAAAUGGUGCCGUAACUUCGGGAGAAGGCACGCUGAUAUGUAGGUGAAGCGACUUGCUCGUGGAGCUGAAAUCAGUCGAAGAUACCAGCUGGCUGCAACUGUUUAUUAAAAACACAGCACUGUGCAAACACGAAAGUGGACGUAUACGGUGUGACGCCUGCCCGGUGCCGGAAGGUUAAUUGAUGGGGUUAGCGGUAACGCGAAGCUCUUGAUCGAAGCCCCGGUAAACGGCGGCCGUAACUAUAACGGUCCUAAGGUAGCGAAAUUCCUUGUCGGGUAAGUUCCGACCUGCACGAAUGGCGUAAUGAUGGCCAGGCUGUCUCCACCCGAGACUCAGUGAAAUUGAACUCGCUGUGAAGAUGCAGUGUACCCGCGGCAAGACGGAAAGACCCCGUGAACCUUUACUAUAGCUUGACACUGAACAUUGAGCCUUGAUGUGUAGGAUAGGUGGGAGGCUUUGAAGUGUGGACGCCAGUCUGCAUGGAGCCGACCUUGAAAUACCACCCUUUAAUGUUUGAUGUUCUAACGUUGGCCCGUAAUCCGGGUUGCGGACAGUGUCUGGUGGGUAGUUUGACUGGGGCGGUCUCCUCCUAAAGAGUAACGGAGGAGCACGAAGGUUGGCUAAUCCUGGUCGGACAUCAGGAGGUUAGUGCAAUGGCAUAAGCCAGCUUGACUGCGAGCGUGACGGCGCGAGCAGGUGCGAAAGCAGGUCAUAGUGAUCCGGUGGUUCUGAAUGGAAGGGCCAUCGCUCAACGGAUAAAAGGUACUCCGGGGAUAACAGGCUGAUACCGCCCAAGAGUUCAUAUCGACGGCGGUGUUUGGCACCUCGAUGUCGGCUCAUCACAUCCUGGGGCUGAAGUAGGUCCCAAGGGUAUGGCUGUUCGCCAUUUAAAGUGGUACGCGAGCUGGGUUUAGAACGUCGUGAGACAGUUCGGUCCCUAUCUGCCGUGGGCGCUGGAGAACUGAGGGGGGCUGCUCCUAGUACGAGAGGACCGGAGUGGACGCAUCACUGGUGUUCGGGUUGUCAUGCCAAUGGCACUGCCCGGUAGCUAAAUGCGGAAGAGAUAAGUGCUGAAAGCAUCUAAGCACGAAACUUGCCCCGAGAUGAGUUCUCCCUGAGACUUUAAGUCUCCUGAAGGAACGUUGAAGACGACGACGUUGAUAGGCCGGGUGUGUAAGCGCAGCGAUGCGUUGAGCUAACCGGUACUAAUGAACCGUGAGGCUUAACCUUACAACGCCGAAGGUGUUU
rnacentral:rRNA from 1 species